UACGGAGGGUGCGAGCGUUGUUCGGAAUUAUUGGGCGUAAAGCGCACGUAGGCGGCCGGGUAAGUCUCACUGUGAAAGCCCGGGGCUCAACCCCGGGAGGCCAGGGGAUACUGCUCGGCUGGAGACAGGCAGAGGCUGGUAGAAUUCCUGGUGUAGCGGUGAAAUGCGCAGAUAUCAGGAGGAACACCAAUUGCGAAGGCAGCUCGCUGGGACGUUACUGACGCUGAGACGCGAAAGCGUGGGGAGCAAACAGG
rnacentral:rRNA from 1 species